GAUGAACGCUGGCGGCGUGCCUAAUACAUGCAAGUCGAGCGAAAAGACGAGGCGCUUGCUCCUCUGACGUUAGCGGCGGGCGGGUGUGAAACACGUGGAUCACCUCCCUAUCAGACUGGGAUAACUUCGGAAAACCGGCGCUUAUCCCGGAUAAUAUCUUGAACCGCAUGGUUCAAUAGAAAGAUACGGUGUUGCGGGCUCUAAUCGCUGGAUCCGCGCCGCAUUAGCUAGUUGGUAAGGUAAAGGCUUACGAAGGCAACGAGGCGUAUCCGACGGCAGAGGGGGAUAGCCCGCACGGGAGGUGGGACACGGACCAGACUCCUGCGGGAGGGAGCAGUAUGGAAUGUGACGCAGUGGGCGGGAGCCUGACGGAGCAACGCGGCGUGUGAGGUGAAGGUCUUCGGAUCGUAAAACUCGGUUAUUAGUGAAGAACAAAUUUGUAAUUAACUGUGGACUGAGUGACGGUACCGGAUCAGAAAGCCACGGCUAACUACGUG
rnacentral:rRNA from 1 species